rnacentral:misc_RNA from 1 species
AGCAGCCGCGGUAAUUCCAGCUCCAAUAGCGUAUAUUAAAGUUGUUGCAGUUAAAAGCUCGUAGUUGAAUUUCGGGAUUGGCGCAUCGGUCGUGCCUCACGGGGUAUGAACUGGUGCAGUCAAUUUCUCACCUUCUGAAGAACCGCGAUGUCCUUAAUUGGAUGCCGCGGGGAACCAGGACCUUUACUUUGAAAAAUUGAGUGUUUAAAGCAGGCAUUUUUGCUUGAAUACAUUAGCAUGGAAUAAUAAAAUAGGACGGCAUGGUUCUAUUUUGUUGGUUUCUAGGACCACCGUAAUGAUUAAUAGGGAUAGUUGGGGGCAUUAGUAUUCAAUUGUCAGAGGUGAAAUUCUUGGAUUUAUUGAAGACUAACUACUGCGAAAGCAUUUGCCAAGGAUGUUUUCAUUAAUCAAGAACGAAAGUUAGGGGAUACGAAGACGAUCAGAUACCGUCGUAGUCUUAACCAUAAACCUAUGCCGACUAGGAAUCAGACGAUGUUAAUUUUUAUGUACUUCGUUUGGC